AGUGAACGCUGGCGGCGGGCCUAACACAUGCAAGUCGAACGGCAGCACAGGAGAGCUUGCUCUCUGGGUGGCGAGUGGCGGACGGGUGAGGAAUACAUCGGAAUCUACUCUGUCGUGGGGGAUAACGUAGGGAAACUUACGCUAAUACCGCAUACGACCUACGGGUGAAAGCAUGGGAUCUUCGGACCUUGCGCGAUUGAAUGGGCCGAUGUCGGAUUAGCUAGUUGGCGGGGUAAAGGCCCACCAAGGCGUCGAUCCGUAUCUGGUCUGAGAGGAUGAUCAGCCACACUGGAACUGAGACACGGUCCAGACUCCUACGGGAGGCAGCAGUGGGGAAUAUUGGACAAUGGGCGCAAGCCUGAUCCAGCCAUACCGCGUGGGUGAAGAAGGCCUUCGGGUUGUAAAGCCCUUUUGUUGGGAAAGAAAUCCAGCUGGCUAAUACCCGGUUGGGAUGACGGUACCCAAAGAAUAAGCACCGGCUAACUUCGUGCCAGCCGCCGCCGUAA
rnacentral:rRNA from 1 species